AUUGAACGCUGGCGGCAGGCCUAACACAUGCAAGUCGAACGAGUGGCGGACGGGUGAGUAAUGUCUGGGAAACUGCCUGAUGGAGGGGGAUAACUACUGGAAACGGUAGCUAAUACCGCAUACCAUCGGAUGUGCCCAGAUGGGAUUAGCUAGUAGGUGGGGGAAAGGCUCACCUAGGCGACGAUCCCUAGCUGGUAUGAGAGGAUGACCAGCCACACUGGAGUUGAGACAAGGUCCAGACUCCUACGGGAGGCAGAAGUGGGGAAGAUGGCACAAGGGGUGCAAGCCUGAUGCAGCCAUGCCGCGUGUAUGAAGAAGGCAUUCGGUUUGUAAAGUACUUUCAGCGGGGAGGCGUUACCCGCAGAAGAAGCACCGGCUAACUCCGUGCCAUCAGCCGCGGUAAUAC
rnacentral:rRNA from 1 species